rnacentral:rRNA from 1 species
GACGAACGCUGGCGGCGUGCUUAACACAUGCAAGUCGAACGGAAAGGCCCUGCUUUUGUGGGGUGCUCGAGUGGCGAACGGGUGAGUAACACGUGAGUAACCUGCCCUUGACUUUGGGAUAACUUCAGGAAACUGGGGCUAAUACCGGAUAGGAGCUCCUGCUGCAUGGUGGGGGUUGGAAAGUUUCGGCGGUUGGGGAUGGACUCGCGGCUUAUCAGCUUGUUGGUGGGGUAGUGGCUUACCAAGGCUUUGACGGGUAGCCGGCCUGAGAGGGUGACCGGCCACAAUGGGACUGAGAGACGGCCCAGACUGCUACGGGAGGCAGCAGUGGGGAAUAUUGCACAAUGGGCGGAAGCCUGAUGCAGCAACGCCGCGUGCGGGAUGACGGCCUUCGGGUUGUAAACCGCUUUCGCCUGUGACGAAGCGUGAGUGACGGUAAUGGGUAAAGAAGCACCGGCUAACUACGUG